CAGUAGCCGCGGGAAUACGUAGGGUGCGAGCGUUAAUCGGAAUUACUGGGCGUAAGGCGUGCGCAGGCGGUUAUAUAAGACAGAUGUGAAAUCCCCGGGCUCAACCUGGGACCUGCAUUUGUGACUGUAUAGCUAGAGUACGGUAGAGGGGGAUGGAAUUCCGCGUGUAGCAGUGAAAUGCGUAGAUAUGCGGAGGAACACCGAUGGCGAAGGCAAUCCCCUGGACCUGUACUGACGCUCAUGCACGAAAGCGUGGGGAGCAAAUGGGAUUAGAUACCCCGGUAGUCCCUGUCUCUUAUAA
rnacentral:rRNA from 1 species